rnacentral:lncRNA from 1 species
UCGUCCCCUCCACGCUAAGAUUCGCAGCAAGCCGGUCCACCGUUUGUUUGGGGGAGUGGCGAAAUCUGAUUGGUGUCGGCAGAUUAGAGUGAGUAAUCCCUAGUCCACCGUUUGUCUAGUCGCUCCUCCCUAGUCCCUAGUGAAAGAGUUGCGAAUGGCAAAUCGUAUAUCUCGCUGGCUUGUGGGUUGUGGCUUGCCCGUCUCUCUCGCUGAAAUAUUAAUUCACAGAUUAUGUUUUUAAUUUCAAUUUAUGUGUCAUAAUUAUAAUUAUAAUAACUUCCGAGGUCCGAGUUACACAAUAAUAAUAAUAACAAUAAUAAUAAUAAUAAUAUAGUUGCGUGACAAAAUUUGUAAAUCUGGGGAAAUGCUUAAUUAGGCAGGAAUCGGGUCAUUUAGACUCUCGUAGUCCAAAAUAUUCAAA